rnacentral:lncRNA from 1 species
AUGGAAUCCAUGAUUGAAUCGGGUGGUCAUUUGCGAGUUCAGUUGCCUAUAACCAGAUAUUUUGUUUCAAUUUGGAUGCCGGUGAUACUGUUGUUUGAGUAGAAAGAAUGUUAGGGUUUCGUUUUCGUUUAUGUGUUUUCCCCCAAUUUCAGAUAUUAUGAAAUUAUUACCAUUUAUUUGCAGAGCUAAUGAAAGUUUGAUAUUAUUAAGUUCAUGUAUAUUAAUUCAUUUUGCACGUUGAGAGCUUUAAAAAGGUGACGAGGCGGCAACAUUUGUCUGGGAGCAUCAGGUCAGGAAACAAACGCCUGUGACACUGUGGUGCAUGCAGGGUCUGGUUCGGAGAGUGAGAGUUAUAAAGAGAGAGAAGGAGAGAGAUGCAGAUGAUCAAGAGAAAAGGGAGGAAUUCGGAAGAGUGACGGUGAUGCCGACGACAUGAAGGCGUAGGAUCCGGUGAGGCGUUUAGAAUUCCAGCCAGCAUUUCGACCAUACCCCGAACCCCGAUCAAGAUCCGACAGAGAACUGACAAGGUUUCGACGAGUCUCCGGUUAAGGUUCUGUUACAGAUUUCGUAAAGCUAUCUCUCUGACUAAGAAUCUGGCGUUUAAAGUUAAGAGAUAUUGAAGAGAAAGUGAUGCUUUAAAGUAAAGAAAGGGUAUAAUAGCUUCUUGCUGAAUUCAUAAGUAGAUAUCAUGGACCGUGGUGUCAGCAGUGGAGGGGAGAGUUCACUUGACUACCUCUUUGGAAGUGAUGAGCCAAAGACCAGUCAAGAAAGAGGUGGUGCCUAAAGUCGUUGUACCCCAGCCAGAUAAUACAAAAAUGAUCCCAGAUAAUGCAAAACAGAUUCCUAGUGGGAUCCAUAUUGCUAAG